UAGUGGCGAACGGGUGCGUAACACGUGGGCAAUCUGCCGAAAAGUGGGGGAUAGCUCGCCGAAAGGCGAAUUAAUACCGCAUAUGGUCAGGGGAGACAUCUUCCUGAAUCCAAAGCCGGGGCAACCUGGCGCUUUUUGAGGAGCCCGCGGCCUAUCAGCUAGUUGGCGAGGUAACGGCUCACCAAGGCUAUGACGGGUAGCUGGUCUGAGAGGACGACCAGUCACACUGGAACUGAGACACGGUCCAGACACCUACGGGUGGCAGCAGUCGAGAAUUUUUCUCAAUGGGGGAAACCCUGAAGGAGCGACGCCGCGUGGAGGAUGAAGGCUUUCGGGUUGUAAACUCCUGUCAUUUGGGAACAAGUUGCACACGUUAACUGCGUGGGCAUUGAUAGUACCAGAAGAGGAAGGGACGGCUAACUCUGUGCCAGCAGCCGCGGUAAUACAGAGGUCCCAAGCGUUGUUCGGAUUCAUUGGGCGUAAAGGGUGCGUAGGUGGCGCUGUAAGUCGGGUGUGCAAUUUCGAGGCUUAACCUCGAAACUGCAUUCGAUACUGCGGUGCUUGAGGACUGGAGAGGAGACUGGAAUUCAUGGUGUAGCAGUGAAAUGCGUAGAGAUCAUGAGGAAGACCAGUGGCGAAGGCGGGUCUCUGGACAGUUCC
rnacentral:rRNA from 1 species